UAUUGUUUCUUAUUUCCGUAGGAAACACAGGACCAAUGAUGUCUUCUGACUAUAACUGUUUCCUGAUGGCUGAACAACAGUCUCCUUCUGCUUUACUUUAAAGUACUCUCUUUAACUUGCUGAUGUAAGAUAAAUAAAAUCUUAAAACUGGCUCUACUCAAAUAUCAAGACCAUGAAACUGUAAAACGAUUCCAUUUGAAAGGAGACUAAAGGGAUACGAGAGAACCAAAUACAACUUGGAACCUGACUUGGAUGCUGGACCAAAAAAGUUUUCUUUGCUGUGAGGGACACUGCUGAUACAACUGGCUGGAAGCAAUCUGCAUCUCCAGAAUUUCCAUCGAUGCUGCUGGGUUCACCAUUUUGUUCAUUUUGUGCUUCUCUUAAAACAAAGGGGGAAAAUGUUAAAAAUCAGAACAACACAACUCCAUCUGGUUACCUUGAAAAGCCCAGUUAUUGCACCUUUGCAUGUAUACUUAACUGUUUCCUGAGACCUGCUGCAAGGACCAUGGCACUGUGAUGGUUAAACCUCUUGAUGAUGGCAGCAUUACUAUUCUCCUUUAUGGAUUUAGAAUUAGAAGUAGAUGGCACAGAAGAAAUGCCAUAGCCCUAUGAGAAACAAUUUAGAAGAUUAAAAAUAAAGUUCUGGUUUUCUUAUCCAUUA